rnacentral:antisense_RNA from 1 species
CUCAAUGGUAGCGUGUAAUGGGAAAGGUUCGCCCUUUGCUACAUUCCACGGUUUUGUAGUUUCUCAGCCCGUUACACGUUACCGCCCAA